GAUGAACGCUGGCGGCGUGCCUAAUACAUGCAAGUCGAGCGAACAGAUGAGGAUCUUGCUUCUCUUACGUUAGCGGCGGACGGGUGAGUAACACGUGGAUAACCUACCUAUAAGACUGGGAUAACUUCGGGAAACCUGAUCUAAUACCGGAUAAUAUAUUGAACCGCAUGGUUCAAUAGUGAAAGACGGUUUUGCUGUCACUUAUAGAUGGAUCCGCGCCGCAUUAGCUAGUUGGUACGGUAACGGCUUACCAAGGCUACGAUGCGUAGCCGACCUGAGAGGGUGAUCGGCCACACUGGAACUGAGACACGGUCCAGACUCCUACGGGAGGCAGCAGUAGGGAAUCUUCCGCAAUGGGCGAAAGCCUGACGGAGCAACGCCGCGUGAGUGAUGAAGGUCUUCGGAUCGUAAAACUCUGUUAGUAGGGAAGAACAGAUGUGUAAGUAACUAUGCACGUCUUGACGGUACCUAAUCAGAAAGCAACGGCUAACUACGUG
rnacentral:rRNA from 1 species